rnacentral:rRNA from 1 species
GACAGAGGGGGCAAGCGUUGCUCGGAAUUACUGGGCGUAAAGGGCGCGUAGGCGGCCCGCUAAGUCGAACGUGAAAUCCCCGAGCUCAACUCGGGAACUGCGUCCGAUACUGGCGGGCUUGAAUCCGGGAGAGGGAUGCGGAAUUCCAGGUGUAGCGGUGAAAUGCGUAGAUAUCUGGAGGAACACCGGUGGCGAAGGCGGCAUCCUGGACCGGCAUUGACGCUGAGGCGCGAAAGCUAGGGGAGCAAACGGG